UACGUAGGGUGCAAGCGUUAAUCGGAAUUACUGGGCGUAAAGCGUGCGCAGGCGGUUUUGUAAGUCUGACGUGAAAGCCCCGGGCUCAACCUGGGAAUUGCGUUGGAGACUGCAAGGCUUGAAUCUGGCAGAGGGGGGUAGAAUUCCACGUGUAGCAGUGAAAUGCGUAGAGAUGUGGAGGAACACCGAUGGCGAAGGCAGCCCCCUGGGUCAAGAUUGACGCUCAUGUACGAAAGCGUGGGGAGCAAACAGG
rnacentral:rRNA from 1 species